UACGUAGGGGGCAAGCGUUGUCCGGAAUCAUUGGGCGUAAAGAGCGUGUAGGCGGCCCGGUAAGUCCGCUGUGAAAGUCCAGGGCUCAACCCUGGGAUGCCGGUGGAUACUGUCAGGCUCGAGUCCGGAAGAGGAGUGUGGAAUUCCUGGUGUAGCGGUGAAAUGCGCAGAUAUCAGGAGGAACACCAAUGGCGAAGGCAGCACUCUGGGACGUGACUGACGCUGAGACGCGAAAGCGUGGGGAGCAAACAGG
rnacentral:rRNA from 1 species